rnacentral:rRNA from 1 species
CCUACGGGAGGCAGCAGUGAGGAAUAUUGGUCAAUGGACGAGAGCCUGAACCAGCCAAGUAGCGUGAGGGAUGACUGCCCUAUGGGUUGUAAACCUCUUUUAUAUGGGAAUAAAAUGCUCCACGUGUGGGUUUUUGUCUGUACCAUACGAAUAAGGAUCGGCUAACUCCGUGCCAGCAGCCGCGGUAAUACGGAAGGUCCGAGCGUUAUCCGGAUUUAUUGGGUUUAAAGGGAGCGUAGGCGGGUUGUUAAGUCAGUUGUGAAAUUAUGCGGCUCAACCGUAACAUUGCAGUUGAAACUGGCAGUCUUGAGUACAGAAGAGGUAGGCGGAAUUCGUGGUGUAGCGGUGAAAUGCUUAGAUAUCACGAAGAACUCCGAUUGCGAAGGCAGCUCACUGGACUGCGACUGACACUGAGGCUCGAAAGUGUGGGUAUCAAACAGGAUUAGAUACCCGAGUAGUC